GGGCCCGCACAAGCGGUGGAGUAUGUGGUUUAAUUCGAUGCAACGCGAAGAACCUUACCAGGGUUUGACAUCCUGCGAAUCUCUUGGAAACGAGAGAGUGCCUUCGGGAGCGCAGUGACAGGUGGUGCAUGGCUGUCGUCAGCUCGUGUCGUGAGAUGUUGGGUUAAGUCCCGCAACGAGCGCAACCCACGUCUUUAGUUGCCAGCAUUUAGUUGGGCACUCUAGAGAGACCGCCGGUGAUAAACCGGAGGAAGGUGUGGAUGACGUCAAGUCAUCAUGCCCCUUACAUCCUGGGCUACACACGUACUACAAUGGCCGGUACAGAGGGCAGCUACACUGCGAAGUGAUGCAAAUCUCGAAAGCCGGUCUCAGUUCGGAUUGGAGUCUGCAACUCGACUCUAUG
rnacentral:rRNA from 1 species